GUGCUCGAUUCAGCAGCACACAUAACUAAAAUUGGAAUGAUACAGAGAAGAUUAGCACGACCCUGAGCAAGUCUGACAUGCAAAUUCAUGAAGCAUUCCAAAAUUUA
ensembl:snRNA U6 U6 spliceosomal RNA